rnacentral:rRNA from 1 species
CCUACGGGUGGCAGCAGUGGGGAAUAUUGCACAAUGGGGGAGACCCUGAUGCAGCGACGCCGCGUGAGUGAAGAAGUAAUUCGUUAUGUAAAGCUCUAUCAGCCGGGAAGAAAAUGACGGUACCUGAGUCAGAACCCCCGGCUAACUACGUGCCAGCAGCCGCGGUAAUACGUCGGGGGCCAGCGUUAUCCGGAUUUACUGGGGGUAAAGGGAGCGUAGACGGCAGUGCAAGUCUGGAGUGAAAGGCGGGGGCUCAACCCCCGGACUGCUCUGGAAACUGGACGGCUGGAGUGCAGGAGAGGUAUGUGGAAUUCCUGGUGUAGCGGUGAAAUGCGUAGAUAUUAGGAAGAACACCAGUGGCGAAGGCGGCUUACUGG